rnacentral:ribozyme from 1 species
CGGCACUCGCCCACAGCAACGAAGUCUUCUCCAUGCACCGUCCUCGAAAACAAUAUCCG